GGAACCCGAAAACCGGACUCAGUUCGGAUCGGAGCUGCAACCCGACUCCGUGAAGCUGGAUUCGCUAGUAAUCGCGCAUCAGCCAUGGCGCGGUGAAUACGUUCCCGGGCCUUGUACACACCGCCCCGUCAAGCCAUGGGAGCCGGGGGUGCUUGAAGUGCGUCGCCGCGAGGCGCGCCCUAGAGCAAAACCGGUNACUGGGGCUAAGUCGUAACAAGGUAAC
rnacentral:rRNA from 1 species